rnacentral:misc_RNA from 1 species
GAUGAAGAACUUAGCGAAAUGCGAUAAGUAAUGUGAAUUGCAGAAUUCAGUGAAUCAUCGAAUCUUUGAACGCACAUUGCGCCCCCUGGAAUUCCGGGGGGCAUGCCUGUUCGAGCGUCUCAGGGACGAACCCUCGCGCGGGUGUACGCGCGGUCGUGGCUGCGGUGGCGUGCCCGAGGCGGCGGCCACCGCGCUGGAAUCCAUGGGCGGACGCCUGCCGCGUGGCCGAGCGUGAUAUGACGCAUUGGCGCUCGCACGCGGCGAGGCUGCCAGCCCUGGCCCGUCUGUCGGGCGGGGGAGAGCAAGACACGUGAACUCCUCGAAUCAGGUAGGGAUACCCGCUGAACUUAAGCAUAUCAAUAAGCGGAGGA